UUUUAGGGAGACCUACCCAACUUGUAAUAUCGAAAGCAUAGUGCCAAUAGAUAUCAAGAUGGUCAUUCCUAGGUCGGUCGAGAUUAGUAAAUGGCUUUCAAAGUAUUGCUGGUUCAGCAAAUGCAAAUAAGUGAGAAGAAGUCCAGCAACAUGGUGUGAAGCCAGACUGCUGGGUGAGAACUCAGCCAGAACCUUGAAAACUGCAUAGGAAUGGGAAGCAGGCAGACACAGACACAGCGAAAGUUGUAGUUGAAAGUGUAUGCGAAAAAGAAG
rnacentral:misc_RNA from 1 species